rnacentral:tRNA from 1 species
AAGUAUUGAAGCAUAUAAUUAUAUGUAUUUAGUUUCGACCUAAAAGAAGAUAUAACAUAUCCAUAUUUA